rfam:Colletotrichum gloeosporioides Cg-14 contig02554, whole genome shotgun sequence.
UCCUCGAUAGUCUAGUGGUGAGGAUAUCGGCUUGUCAUUCACACGAUUCGCCGGGGACCGGGGUUCAAUUCCCCGUCGAGGAG